AGAGUUUGAUCCUGGCUCAGGAUGAACGCUAGCGGUAGGCUUAACACAUGCAAGUCGAGGGGCAGCACAGGUAGCAAUACUAGGUGGCGACCGGCGCACGGGUGAGUAACGCGUAUGCAACCUACCUAUAACUGGAGAAUAGCCCCCGGAAACGGGGAUUAAUGUUCCAUAAUGUUCAGAGACUGCAUAGUUUUUGGACUAAAGCUCAGGCGGUUAUAGAUGGGCAUGCGUGCCAUUAGCUAGUUGGUGAGGUAACGGCUCACCAAGGCUACGAUGGUUAGGGGGUCUUAAAGGAUGAUCCCCCACACUGGUACUGAGACACGGACCAGACUCCUACGGGAGGCAGCAGUGAGGAAUAUUGGUCAAUGGGCGCAAGCCUGAACCAGCCAAGCCGCGUGAAGGAUGACGGCCCUAUGGGUUGUAAACUUCUUUUUUACGGGAAGAACCCUCCGACGUGUCGGAGACUGACAGUACCGUACGAAUAAGCAUCGGCUAACUCCGUGCCAGCAGCCGCGGUAAUACGGAGGAUGCAAGCGUUAUCCGGAUUCAUUAGGUAUAAAGGGUGCGUAGGCGGAUUUGUAAGUCAGUGGUGAAAUACUAUAGCUUAACUAUAGAACUGCCAUUGAUACUGCAAGUCUUGAGUACAAUUGAGGUAGGCGGAAUGUGUGGUGUAGCGGUGAAAUGCUUAGAUAUCACACAGAACACCGACGAAGGCAGCUUACUAAACUGUAACUGACGCUGAUGCACGAAAGCAUGGGGAGCAAACAGGAUAGAUACCCUGGUAGUC
rnacentral:rRNA from 1 species